UACGGAGGAUGCGAGCGUUAUCCGGAUUUAUUGGGUUUAAAGGGUGCGCAGGCGGCGUGUCAAGUCAGCGGUAAAAUGUCGGGGCUCAACCCCGGCCGGCCGUUGAAACUGGCGUGCUCGAGUUGGAGAGAAGUAUGCGGAAUUCGUGGUGUAGCGGUGAAAUGCAUAGAUAUCACGAAGAACCCCGAUUGCGAAGGCAGCAUACCGGCUCCACACUGACGCUGAGGCACGAAAGCGGGGGUAUCGAACAGG
rnacentral:rRNA from 1 species